rnacentral:rRNA from 1 species
AGUAUGGAGAGUUUGAUCCUGGCUCAGAACGAACGUUGGCGAUGCGUCUUAAGCAUGCAAGUCGAGCGGGAUUAUUGUAGCAAUAUAAUAGUUCAGCGGCGGACUGGUGAGUAACGCGUGGAUAAUCUGCCCCGGAGUGGGGGACAACGCCUGGAAACAGGCGCUAAUACCCCAUCGACCCUUGUGACAUAAGUUGCGUAGGGUAAAGUAGCAAUAUGCUCCGGGAUGAGUCUGCGUCCGAUUAGCUAGUUGGUGAGGUAAUGGCCCACCAAGGCGACGAUCGGUAGCCGGCCUGAGAGGGUGUACGGCCACAUUGGGACUGAGAUACGGCCCAGACUCCUACGGGAGGCAGCAGCUGAGAAUCUUCCACAAUGGACGAAAGUCUGAUGGAGCGACAUCGCGUGAGGGAUGAAGGCCUUCGGGUUGUAAACCUCUUUUUACGCUGACGAAUAAUUGACGGUAAGCGUUGAAUAAGCCUCGGCUAACUACGUGCCAGCAGCCGCGGUAAUACGUAGGAGGCGAACGUUGUUCGGAUUUACUGGGCGUAAAGGGUGAGUAGGCGGAGUGGUAAGUCAUUGGUGAAAGACCGGGGCCCAACCCCGGGAACGCCUUUGAUACUAUCAUUCUUGAGUGCGAUAGAGGAUGGUGGAAUUCCUGGUGUAAGGGUGGAAUCUGUAGAUAUCAGGAGGAACAUCGAUGGCGAAGGCAACCAUCUGGGUCGCAACUGACGCUGAAUCACGAAAGCUGGAGUAGCAAACGGGAUUAGAUACCCCGGUAGUUCCAGCCGUAAACUAUGUACACUGGGUGUUUGCGGUUUAUCCGUAGGCACCGUAGCUAACGUGUUAAGUGUACCGCCUGGGGAGUAUGCUCGCAAGGGUGAAACUCAAAGGAAUUGACGGGGGCCCGCACAAGCGGUGGAGCAUGUGGUUCAAUUCGAUGAUACGCGAAAAACCUUACCUGGGUUUGAAAUGCCGGGGGAAUGCCACAGAGAUGUGACAGCCCGAAAGGGUCGCCGGCACAGGUGCUGCAUGGCUGUCGUCAGCUCGUGUCGUGAGAUGUUGGGUUAAGUCCCGCAACGAGCGCAACCCUUAUCCCUUGUUGCCACCGGGUAAUGCCGGGUACUCUUGGGAAACUGCCUGUGACAAACAGGAGGAAGGCGGGGAUGACGUCAAGUCCUCAUGGCCCUUAUGUCCAGGGCUACACACGUGCUACAAUGGACGGUACAAAGGGAAGCAAGACCGCGAGGUGGAGCAAAUCCCAAAAAGCCGUCCUCAGUUCGGAUUGGAGUCUGAAACUCGACUCCAUGAAGCCGGAAUCGCUAGUAAUCGCAGAUCAGCAUGCUGCGGUGAAUACGUUCCCGGGCCUUGUACACACCGCCCGUCACACCACCCGAGUCGGUUUCACCCGAAGUCGUUAGCUUAACCGUAAGGAGAGCGGCGCCUAAGGUGAGACUGGUGAGGAGGGUGAAGUCGUAACAAGGCAGCCGUACCGGAAGGUGUGGCUGGAUCACCUCCUUU